UACGUAGGGUGCAAGCGUUGUCCGGAAUUAUUGGGCGUAAAGAGCUUGUAGGCGGUUUGUCGCGUCUGCUGUGAAAUUUCGGGGCUCAACCCCGAACUUGCAGUGGGUACGGGCAGACUAGAGUUCGGUAGGGGAGUCUGGAAUUCCUGGUGUAGCGGUGAAAUGCGCAGAUAUCAGGAGGAACACCGGUGGCGAAGGCGGGACUCUGGGCCGAUACUGACGCUGAGGAGCGAAAGCGUGGGGAGCAAACAGG
rnacentral:rRNA from 1 species